rnacentral:rRNA from 1 species
UACGUAGGGGGCGAGCGUUGUCCGGAAUCAUUGGGCGUAAAGAGCUCGUAGGCGGUUCAGUAAGUCGGCUGUGAAAUUCCGAGGCUCAACCUCGGAACUGCAGUCGAUACUAUUGUGACUAGAGUCCGGUAGAGGAGAAUGGAAUUCCCGGUGUAGCGGUGAAAUGCGCAGAUAUCUGGAGGAACACCGGUGGCGAAGGCGGCAUCCUGGACCGGCAUUGACGCUGAGGCGCGAAAGCCAGGGGAGCAAACGGG